rnacentral:lncRNA from 1 species
UUCUUUGUGAGGACUCUGGCAGACCUCAGGGUCUUCCAGCCUUGACACAAAGAGGUGGAGAGUCCUUCUGAAGGCUUUUCUGUUGGUGUAAAAGAAAAACGAUUGUUUAUAACCUAAUGUGUAGAGGGUUGCAUUUGCUGAUGAAGCAUGGGAUUUCAGAUAGACUUGGCAGUCACAGAAUUCCUCAGACAGUAAUAGUCUGCAAAUAUACACAUCAAAUAAAUCACUGAAUAAGGAGGAAUGAAAUGGAACAGAUCUAUUUAAAAAGACAAAAAUCCAAACUGACUGAAGUAUAGUCUGCGCUUUGAGCUAUGACAGGAAUCAGGAACUAGUUCCAAGACUAAUGUCUAGAAUAUGCUUGGAUGUUUUGGACUGCAUUACAAAGACCAUGGAACAAAUGGUCUUGAAAUAAGAAUGAAAAAAAAAUAACAAAACAAUAUAUUGUAUUUAAUAUAUAUAUAUACCCAGGCAUUGUAAACUAGUUCAUAGCAACGUCGCUUUUUGAUCCUACAAUGUAGGCUCUUCCUAUCACUGUGAAGCAGAAUUCACCAAGCGUUGGAUUGUUCUCCCACUAAUAGGGAACGUGAGCUGGGAUUAGACCGUCGUGAGACAGGUUAAUUUUACCCUACUGAUGAUGUGUUGUUGUGCUAGUGAUUCUAGCCAAGGGCCUAGUUCAAGAGCCUCUGUAUCAAGAGACUUAUGCUAUGAAUAAAAAUAUCAAAACCAUGAUUUUGAGACUCUCU